rnacentral:lncRNA from 1 species
UUCUCCAAGGUCCAUGGAGUUGACCUUCUCAAUGUCCAUUCCUUGUAUUCCACUGGAGACAGCGGGACGUCCAGCUCCCCUCUCGUUCACCGCUCCCUGGGCAAUCUGGUGGCUCCGGUCUUCCUGGAGGACAUCAGAUUGAUGCCGAACUUGGUGCAGUCACCUGAUCGGCAGAGCGCACUACAGCCCGGAACUCCUGGACUCCAGUGAUCCACCUGCCUUAGCCUCCCGAGUAGCUGGGACUACAGCCGCGUCUGGCUGUUAUUAACACUUUAAUGUCAUCAUCACCGCAGGACAUUUUCCCUGAUAAUUUAGCCAGGUCCACGGGUCAACCCACUUGGAACUUGAUUUCCUAACUAUUGUUAUUGCUGCUGUUAAGGACAGGUACUAUGUUUUUCUCAGUCUGUGUAUGCCAGAUGCUUAACACAACAAGUACUUAAUAAAUGCUCAUUAAGCAGGA